AACAUCCAUCUGCGGAGAAAGUCGUUGAACAAGGCUGCAUGGCUUGCAUAGGUGAUGAUCUGUACUGAUUUUAAAACCAUAUACAUUUGGAAGGCUACAGUAAAGUUUAGUCAGGGAGAUCAAAUGUCGAACUGCGAGUCAGAACUUCGGUUGGAUGUUAUAGCCACUUUGCCCCAUGAUUUGUGUGCGACCCUGUGCUCAGCAUUUGACCUCAAAUAAAAUACUCUGUGCUAUACUGUACCCAGCUGCUGAGAUAAGAGUAAUCCUAUUUUUCUACCUAGCAGGAAUAUUGCGAGUCUUUACUUUGAUAAACACUGAAGGAAAAAAAAAAAAAAAAAACGAAAAAAAAAACCUAUACUAUAUAUAAAAGAAAACAUUUUAUUUCAUGGUAUGAAUCUGUAGCACAGUAGUUGAUAUCCCUGUGUGCAAGACUUCUGGAUCCUUUCCAAGGAAAUGUGGGCAGCCAGAUAGAUUAAUACUGGAGUUGCCACGUGAAACGAAAAUAUGAGGAUUUUAAGAUUUCUGAAUUUCCCGUGCACUGGGCAUAGAAAUCAGGGAGACAUUUGACUCAUUUUGUGUAUGAUAAUGAACAUUAGCUCUCUGCCUACUUCAAGUGUUUUAUUUUACAAAUGCCUUAUUAAUUGUGCCUUUCAGGAGCCCUUUUUUUGUGCAUCUGUGUGUGUAAGACUAGACAGAUUCAUGGUAAAAUGAUAAUAUUGGUGAACUGGUGACUGUGAAAUUUAACCAACUUUGCUCACAAAUUACAAAAUGGACUUGGUGUUUUUAAGUACAGGUUUGUGGGACCCUGAGUGCAGCAAUAGGUCCUAGCUGUCCUGACCAGCCUUGCCAGAGGCCUUCACCCAUACCCUUUACCCAUGGACCUAGAAGCCUCAUUUACACUCAGGGCAGGGCUGAGGCAGGGAGUACAAGGACGGGAUGACUCUGAAGAUAAGGGAAGAAAAGACUCCAUGCACACAAAUAAUAGAACCAGCAAGAAUUGGCUUGGAAUGCUGAAGUCUGCAAAAGAAAGGAAGGGUCAGAAGUCUAGCAGUGAGGAAGACUUCUGGCCUUCAUCAAAAGACCACCAGAGUACACUGGAUGACCACCUGAGGACUCCGAUUUCUUGGAUUGACCUGUGCCUUGUUACCUUGCUUGUGGCUGAUGAUUACUGGGCUGUCAAUAGGACCUGCUGCCACCACGCUACUCUGCUCACCCAGCUAGGGUUGCUGUGGGACUGUGUGCUGUAGCAGGAUGCAUCUUCAUGGACUAUAGGAUCCCUACAGCAUCAUGUGUCCCGCUUUGAGUGAAUGUCCAGCCUUGAGUGAAUGGAAAAGAAUAUCAUUAUAUGGUACCUACACAGCAGGUAGGGACCCGCAUCAUCAGUCUGUUUCAAGACUAAUAAUUUGUGAAAUAGUAUUUUCAAACAGCUUGUUUGGUUCUCUCUCAGUAGAGUUGUCCCAAUAGACAUAUUGCCUGGUGGCUAAGCACAGGUUAGGUACCAGUCACCAACAGCGUGGUACUUGUAGCAUGUUGCAUGAAUAAGGUGCAUUUUGCAUCUGGAAUGUCUGCUCUGCAGAUUUGUGAUGAAGCACGUCCACGAAAUAUUGGUGUUAAUCAGGAGGGAAAGGAGUGGCCUUACAGACAAGUUGAGAAGCUGGGGAAAACAUGACCAAUAAAAUCAUAAAUAUGUUCCUAGGUGUUUUAGGUACAUUGCUACAGUUCAGGGUAUUUGUGAGUGGAAUCAAAAAAACACAGAGCCUUUGCUCUGUCUAAACUAGGUUUAGAAAUUGUGUUUGGAGAAACCUGUCCUAGCCUCUCAUCCCUCAGUUCUAUCUUUCUUCAUCUUCCUUUCAAUGCAGCCCCUGCUGCAGCUUCUUUCUCUUUUACUCCAACCUGUUUUCGGUUAGAAAAGGUCAUUUCUAAGUUCUUGGUUUGUCUCCCUUGAUGGACACUUGGCAGAAUCAUAACUCUCUCUGUCACAACUUAAGUGCUUUCCCAGGAUAUUCAAAUCCAUUGGAAUGAUCAGUUGCCUCCUAGACAAAGGGCAGCAAGCUAGUUCUUGCGGAGCCUUCCACCUUCCUCCAUAUUUGUUCCCAGGCACACACUGACCAAAUUUCCCUGCACUGCCUUCAUUCACCCAGUUCUCACAAGAUUACAGGUUUACCUCCACCAAGAAUUUCUUUACCUCUCACAAGCUCCUGUACCCUUCAGGUGAAUUUGAUUAUAUUACUAUAAAGAAAAUAUUGUCCUUCUUUGACAUACUGCCACUUCUGUCUUUCAUCUUUAGUUCUAGAUGAGGGCAAGUAAAUAGUCUUUGAACUUUGUUUUCCUUUGAAAUCCAAACCACCAGAUUUGCACUCAGAUACUUACCUAAUACAGGUAUUGAGAAAGCGCCUCUAGCAAAGCUUUACUGUUCCUCCUUGUUAUCUCUAACAUCCCACCACACAAUCUACUGUGUCAUACUGCUUUCUUUUCCAUGUAUAAUACUGACUGGCAUGGUUAAUAAAUCUUGUAUGAUAAAACUUUUCACUUACCAUAUCAGCAAACAUGAAGUAGAAAAGCUGAUGGGACAAGGAGUAACCCGAGCAACCAAGUUGAGUCAUUAUGUUCCUACAGGUGCUUGUGACAACGCAGGACUUGCCAUUCUCUUUCCUGUUUAAGAAUAGCAACACAGACGGAGUUGAAGAGUCUGAUAAAGGAAGGCCUAUUCCUGUUCUGUACAAUUGCAGGGCACAGUAACUCUCAUUUCCUGCUUGCCAGCAGACAAUAGAAAAGUCUUAUAAAACAGUGGCAGUAAGAAAGGAUCCACCGAUAUCACAGAAACAUACCGUGUUCCUAGCAAAUACGUAUAGCACGUGUCACUUGUUUUCUCUGUAAAACACUUGGAACUACCAAAUGAAGUAUAGGCCAGCAAGGUAUCAGUUUGGUUCCAUGAAUGGGGAAAGACCCAGAAAUGUGGUCCUAAAAUUGGUACAAAUUCUGAAAGCAAAUCAAAGAAGAAAGCCUGUAAUUAGUGGUAUAGUCAAGGGAGAUCUCAGGCCCUGCCUGAUCUCUUAAGUCUGUCUACACCCAAAGGUACCCUUGCAUGUAUCUGCACAUUGCCUCUCUGUGGCUUUCAGAGCUGAAUACCCCUACUGUGCAGACCUGCCUUUAGUGCUUUUCUCCAAACCACCCAAAAAAUCAGCAGCAGAAUCGUUACUUCCAAGAAUUAGUAUUUGUGUUUCCAUUUGGGCUCACUAGCCAUUCCUUUCUAAGUACUCUCAGGACGGAUACCAAACUCUAAGUAAACUCUUUCUUUUCAUUAACUCUGCCAUCUUUGUUGUUUCAUAGGUCACUGCAUAAAGGCAAAACACUGCAAUAUGAAUACCUUGAGCUUGAAUGAGAACUAUUUUUCUUUAAUGCCAUCCACACUUGUUAUUUUUACCUUUGAAAUAUUUGGGAUCAUUCUGCGCUAGAGAAUAUGUUGCUUUUUCAAUCAGAGGAGACAACUUCUUCACCACACUUUCAACUCGGGUACGCUGAGCAAGUAAUUCAUGUUCUAAAGGCCACUUUUCUAGGGCUCCUUUCAAGUAGCCUGCA